GCCAGCGUGGUGUAGUGGUUUGAGCGUUGGACUAAGAAUCUGGAGACCGGGGUUCAAAUCCCCUGCUUGAGCA